CGGGACGGGUGAGUAACGCGUGGGUAACCUACCCUGUACACACGGAUAACAUACCGAAAGGUAUGCUAAUACGGGAUAAUAUAUUUGAGAGGCAUCUCUUAAAUAUCAAAGGUGAGCCAGUACAGGAUGGACCUGCGUCUGAUUAGCUAGUUGGUAAGGUAACGGCUUACCAAGGCGACGAUCAGUAGCCGACCUGAGAGGGUGAUCGGCCACAUUGGGACUGAGACACAGUCCAA
rnacentral:rRNA from 1 species